rnacentral:rRNA from 9 species
UAGGUAGCUAAGCGAUUAUGGAUAAGAGCUGAAAGCAUCUAAGCUCGAAGCUAUCUCAGAAAAAAGACGCCGA